AAACCUGCGAAACUCGAAUGAACGAACGGAGAGAUUCAUCGUCACUCCGGGGCGUACGGCGGCGUGCCGCGAUGUGCGCGAGCCUCGUGCUCGCGUUCACCGGUCGUCGCCGUUGACGCGACCGGACGGCGUGCACUUCUCACCUAGUACACACAAUGCAUCGCGACCCGUUCGUCUGUUCGGUCUAAGCGUCGUCCGGGAGCCGGGCGGCUGUGCGUUCACGCGCCCAGCCGUCCGACCGCGACGAUCGCCGGCCGGCGGCGGACGGUACGUAUCACGAAACGCGCACGCGUCUCCGGUCACGGAGGCGCGUCCGGCCCGACGCGAGCGAGAGUCUUCGUCGACAUCCUGCCCUUGCGCGGAUGCUGACGCGACACCGCUGCUGUCGCAGCCGUGUAGUCUCGGACUGUGCGCGCAUCAGUCGGCGAUGUUACUGUUUCGG
rnacentral:rRNA from 1 species